ACUCAAAUGAAUUGACGGGGGCCCGCACAAGCGGUGGAGCAUGUGGUUUAAUUCGAUGCAACGCGAAGAACCUUACCUGGUCUUGACAUCCACGGAAGUUUUCAGAGAUGAGAAUGUGCCUUCGGGAACCGUGAGACAGGUGCUGCAUGGCUGUCGUCAGCUCGUGUUGUGAAAUGUUGGGUUAAGUCCCGCAACGAGCGCAACCCUUAUCCUUUGUUGCCAGCGGUCCGGCCGGGAACUCAAAGGAGACUGCCAGUGAUAAACUGGAGGAAGGUGGGGAUGACGUCAAGUCAUCAUGGCCCUUACGACCAGGGCUACACACGUGCUACAAUGGCGCAUACAAAGAGAAGCGACCUCGCGAGAGCAAGCGGACCUCAUAAAGUGCGUCGUAGUCCGGAUUGGAGUCUGCAACUCGACUCCAUGAAGUCGGAAUCGCUAGUAAUCGUGGAUCAGAAUGCCACGGUGAAUACGUUCCCGGGCCUUGUACACACCGCCCGUCACACCAUGGGAGUGGGUUGCAAAAGAAGUAGGUAGCUUAACCUUCGGGAGGGCGCUUACCACUUUGUGAUUCAUGACUGGGGUGAAGUCGUAACAAGGUAA
rnacentral:rRNA from 1 species